rnacentral:lncRNA from 1 species
UGUGACUCCGGAUAAUAAAGGUAGCCAGCCUCAUACAGACCAACCAGAACAGCUGCCAACAUGAAGCUUCUGGUGUGUGCCCUCGUACUGGUGCUGGUGUGCAGUGAGACUGUGCAUUCCCUCAAGUGUUUCACUUGUGUGAACGGGAACUGUAAGACUGCUACAGAAUGCCCAGAAUCAAGCAACUUCUGCAAAACCGUGGUGGGAUACGACUCCCUCAGUCGGACCUGUGAGGAGUUCUGUGUGCCUGGAGUUAAUAUCUACUGCUGCCAGGAGGAUCUGUGUGGCUGAGACCCAGCUAACCUCUGCAAUACUGCUGAAUCAUGAGCUUAAUCAAAGAGUUAUAAUAAUAAUAACCAUAUAAAAAUGACCAUAAUCCUCCUAAUUAACUGUAUCCAAUGAUUCCUAAUGCUUGAAUAAAAGCCUGCAGCAUCUAUUUUCUUCUUUUAGA